UGAAUACCAAAGGACUGAGGACCCAAAA
rnacentral:piRNA from 1 species